rnacentral:tRNA from 1 species
GGUAAAAUGGCUGAGUAAGCAUUAGACUGUAAAUCUAAAGACAGAGGGAAAUCCUCUUUUUGCC